ACGUCCACACAAGCCCGUCCAACCACCAAGCUGUACGUACGCCUGAAACUAAUGCAACACUGUGUGUCCACGGCAGGCGGAAAGGAGAACGAGGGGAGAUGCAUGCUGGCCGUCCAGGCACCAUCUCCUACGGUCUCCACGAUGGCCUCUGAGUUUGGCGGAGACAGGCUCAGGAAAGUUCUGCAAGUUUCCUGGAUCCCCAGACGUGCCGCAUUUGGAGAAGGGAGGAUCCAGCACUUCUGAUCCCGAGGGCAGAGCAGACGUGGGGACGCGGCUCUCAAGCUGGCCUCGGCACCAGGAGAGCAUCUGAAAGCAACGGGGUCCGUCGCAGGCAGAAGAUGACCUUCUUCCUGCUAGUGCGGCCCCCACACCUCAUUAUGUUGAGUGCACAGAGCAGCCGUGCAUCAUAUCGCAGUGGCCCCUUCCAGUCCUUGGCUCUGGGAGGAUCUGGGGUUCAAAAAGCAAGGAGCAGGGCGCCUGGGUGGCUCAGUCAGUUAAGCGUCCGACUUUGGCUC